GAUGAACGCUGGCGGCGUGCCUAAUACAUGCAAGUCGAGCGAACAGACGAGGAGCUUGCUCCUCUGACGUUAGCGGCGGACGGGUGAGUAACACGUGGAUAACCUACCUAUAAGACUGGGAUAACUUCGGGAAACCGGAGCUAAUACCGGAUAAUAUAUUGAACCGCAUGGUUCAAUAGUGAAAGACGGUUUUGCUGUCACUUAUAGAUGGAUCCGCGCCGCAUUAGCUAGUUGGUAGGGUAACGGCUUACCAAGGCGACGAUGCGUAGCCGACCUGAGAGGGGGAGCGCCGCCAUGGGAGGGGGAACGGGGCCAAGGGGAAUGCGAGAGGGAGCAGAGGGAAAUGGGCGGAAGGGGUGGAGAGCCUGACGAAACGGCGCGGAGUGUGAGGUGAAGAUGGUGGGUGCGUAAAGCUGGUUUUUGGGGUAAAAAAAGAUUUGAAAGUAGAUGUACAGGUAUUGACGGUACCUAAUAAAAAAGCACCGGCUAACUACGUG
rnacentral:rRNA from 1 species